GGGUCAUCAUGGAAACAAGUUAGUCUGAGAUCACCGGUCGCACGCGCAACAACAAACAUGAAGCUUAUUUUAACACUAUCGGUUCUAGUGGCUGCAGUCAUGGCCGAACAAGAUCCGAAGCAACUGGACAAUCUCCUUAGAGAGGGAAAUAACCAAUUUACAGCAAGAAUGUUUUCCGAAGUGGUAAAGAGCAACCCGGAUAAAAGUGUGGUAUUGUCUGCGUUCUCUGUGUUGACUCCUCUGGCUCAACUUAGCUUGGCGUCGGAGGGCGCAUCCCAUGACGAGCUUCUCAAGGCUAUUGGUCUGCCCAACGAUAACGUUACAAAACUUGUAUUUCCUCGUUUGAAUGAAGAGCUGAAAUCAGUGAAAGGUGUCGAGCUCAAAACAGCUAGCAAAAUAUAUGUUGCUGAUGGUUCCGAAUUGAAUCCUGAAUUUUCUGCGAUCACCAAAGAUAUCUUCAACUCUGAAGUGAAGAAUGUCGAUUUCACGAAGAGCACGGAAACAGCAAAGGAAAUCAAUACUUGGGUUGAAGACCAAACCAACAACCGUAUCAAAGAUUUAGUGUCAGCUGAUGACUUAAGUUCCGACACCCGCAGUGUACUCGUCAACGCUAUUUAUUUCAAGGGUAAAUGGGACAGCCCUUUCAAAAAGGAAAGCACGAAGGACGAAGACUUCCACGUCUCCAAAGACAAAACAAUCAAAGUUCCAAUGAUGCACGUACAAGGCGACUUCAAAUAUGCUGAUAGCGACGAGUUGAAUGCUCAGUUGUUGGAGAUGCCUUACGAAGGAGGUGAAGCCUCUUUCAUAGUAAUUCUACCUAAAGAAGUUGACGGCAUUGCGGCUCUCGUAGACAAACUUAAAGAUCCUUCCGCCUUGGAAUCAGCCACAUCAAAGAUGUACACUUUUGAUGUCAACGUCUCUUUGCCCAAAUUCAAGAUUGAAACCAAGACUGAUCUUAAAGACGUCCUUCUAAAGAUGGAUGUGAAACGUGUUUUCGACCCUCAACAAGCCCAACUGAGUCGUUUGUUAAAGGGCGAAGGAAAUUUGUUUGUAAGUAAAGCCAUCCAAAAGGCAUUCAUUGAAGUCAAUGAAGAAGGUGCUGAAGCAGCUGCUGCAAACGAAUUUGCAAUCGGUUAUAGCGGGUACACUACCAGUCCCGCCACUUUUAUUGCGAAUCAUCCUUUCGUAUUCUUUCUUAUGAAAGGGAACAAUAUUCUUUUUGACGGGAUCUUAUACAAUUAAAUGUCAAUAGAAAGUAAAAUUAAUAAACGUUAAUAAACUAAUUAUUUUAUUCAGGACGAGAAAUAAUCCAAUUAUUUUUAAAACGCACCCAAAUCGACUGGCUUGAAAAAAUCAAGUAUCGAAUUUUAAUUUC